CGCGUAGGCGGUCUUGUCGGUCAGAUGUGAAAGCCCGGGGCUCAACCCCGGACGUGCAUUUGAAACAGCAAGACUUGAGUACGGGAGAGGAAAGCGGAAUUCCUGGUGUAGAGGUGAAAUUCGUAGAUAUCAGGAGGAACACCGAUGGCGAAGGCAGCUUUCUGGACCGAUACUGACGCUGAGGCGCGAAGGCGUGGGUAGCGAACAGGAUUAGAUACCCUGGUAGUCC
rnacentral:rRNA from 1 species